rnacentral:rRNA from 1 species
GUGGGGAAUAUUGGACAAUGGGCGAAAGCCUGAUCCAGCCAUGCCGCGUGUGUGAAGAAGGUCUUCGGAUUGUAAAGCACUUUAAGUUGGGAGGAAGGGCAGUAAGUUAAUACCUUGCUGUUUUGACGUUACCGACAGAAUAAGCACCGGCUAACUUCGUGCCAGCAGCCGCGGUAAUACGAAGGGUGCAAGCGUUAAUCGGAAUUACUGGGCGUAAAGCGCGCGUAGGUGGUUUUGUAAGUUGGAGGUGAAAUCCCCGGGCUCAACCUGGGAACUGCCUCCAAAACUGCAUGACUAGAGUACGGUAGAGGGUAGUGGAAUUUCCGGUGUAGCGGUGAAAUGCGUAGAUAUAGGAAGGAACACCAGUGGCGAAGGCGACUACCUGGACUGAUACUGACACUGAGGUGCGAAAGCGUGGGGAGCAAACAGGAUUAGAAACCCCGGUAGUCC